rnacentral:rRNA from 1 species
GACGAACGCUGGCGGCGUGCUUAACACAUGCAAGUCGAACGGAAAGGCCUGCUUUCCCUUGUGGAUUGCGGGUACUCGAGUGGCGAACGGGUGAGUAACACGUGAGUGAUCUGCCCCCAACUUGGGUAUAAGCCUGGGAAACUGGGUCUAAUUCCCGAUAGGACUGCAGGGUGGUGCCUGUGGUGGAAAACGAUUUUCUAGUGGUUGGGGAUGAGCUCGCGGCCUAUCAGCUUGUUGGUGGGGUAAUGGCCUACCAAGGCGGCGACGGGUAGCCGGCCUGAGAGGGUGGACGGCCACAUUGGGACGGAGAUACGGCCCAGACUCCUACGGGAGGCAGCAGUGGGGAAUAUUGCACAAUGGGCGGAAGCCUGAUGCAGCGACGCCGCGGGGGGGAUGACGGCCUUCGGGUUGUAAACUCCUUUCGACCGCGAGGAAGCCACCUGGUUGGAAGGGUGGUGACGGUAGUGGUAGAAGAAGCACCGGCUAACUACGUG